CUUAAUUUUGGUGUGCCUCCCCUUUUCCUUUCUGAUAAUGGCCAUUAAAGGUGUUCUAAUGGAUCUUCCUGCUUGUUUUGAAUUUCUUUUUCCCAUCGUUCUGACAGUGACUUACUAUAUACUCUUGGGUAAGAAGCUGUUGAGAGGAAGCUUCAUAGUGUUUCAUCCUAGACAGAGCUUCUUGAGGAAUCUGGAAACAUUUUAGUCACUAAAAUAUUGUUCCUCACUUGGAAAUAAUUUUUCCAAUGCUUGCCAGCAGCUCCUUGCAAACUUGGACAGCAGAUUUUUUUUCUCUGCAAAAUCAGGACUCAGUUCUUGCAGGAGCAUUGCGCAUGUCCUUGGAAAAGUAUGCACCUGUGCUUCUACGUGGUCCUGCUUUAUCACAACAUUUCAGUUAAAAAAAGUAAUUUUACUUCAUCUGUUAAGAUAAGGAAGAAAUAAAAUGGGGUCUGUGACCAAGGGGACAAAUACGGAAGAGAACACAAUUUUAGGUUGCUUUCUAAACAAGCUCCUUUUUGUUGUUUUGUUGCUUCAGCACCUCAACUACCUUGAAAGCUGGCUAUUAGCUUCUCCAUGCUACCCCAGAAGGGUGCUAAGCAUUCCUAGGGCUAUUUCUUCUCUGCCAGGGCAUCUUUUCGCCUUCCCGAUGCUACAAGAUCUUACUUUCAAAACCCCUCAUAGCACCAUCACCAAUUAGUGUGGUGGAUUGACCUUUUCCUCAUGUAGAAGAAAAAGCUUAAUUUGUAUGUCUUCCUUUCCUCAGCUGUCUUUUCUUGUUAAAAGUUUCUACAAGCAAUGAUAAAAUUUCCUACAUUGUGUAUCUUGAAAAAUAUUGGGGUUUUUAGACAUACUUUAGUUUCAAAGGCAUCAUUAGAAGAUGAAAUAUGAUUCAAGGCACAAUGUCAUAGCUAAGAGGAUAUUUGGGAUAUGAAGCAACUAUGCAGUGUUAGUUAAGUGGGGAUGAAUCAGAGACAUGUUCCACAAGAGAUCUGUGUUCCUUAUUCCACUUGGACAAUGGAAGGUCUAUGGCAUUUAAAGAAAUGGUUUCCAGCAAGCUUAUUUUUGGCAAUCAUAAUCAAGCUUUUUGGCACACUGAUUCUCUUAAUUUCAACUGAAUAAAGCUCCUUUAUGAAAGCAAACAAGGAAAAAAGACAAGUCUGUGUCCAAAGCAGAAAAUAGGUAGAAAUGUGAAAGACUAAGGUGGUGAUUUUUGGGGGAUGGUGGGAAUUACCAUUGUUCAGUAAUGCAGAGCUCGGGCAGUGGGUGGAACACAGCUGUAGAAGCAGAAAAGCAAGAGGUGCAGCAGGAGAGGCAGGAGAAUUUGAAGUAGCAUUUCCCCUUAGAAGAAUCCAAAACCAAGCUUCUUUUGAGCAGAUUGGUCUGAAAAGACAGGCUUGGAAGCAUGCCCAGAUGAACUGUUUCUUGUCUGUUCCUAUUGGGUUCUGGGAAGAAGAAUUCUAUGUACAUACUUUGUGUAAAAAAACAAUUAUAGCAAAGAAAUACCUGGAUCAAAUCAGAGGCUUCACCACAUAAUCAAAACAGUUCAGCAAAUCUCAAACAUUGCCCUUUUACUACUAGAAGGGGAAACAAUAGAAUAAAUAUAUAUGUAGGUUUAGCUUUUCCAU